AUUGAACGCUGGCGGCAUGCUUUACACAUGCAAGUCGAACGGUAACAGGCCGCAAGGUGCUGACGAGUGGCGAACGGGUGAGUAAUGCAUCGGAACGUGCCCAGUCGUGGGGGAUAACGCAGCGAAAGCUGCGCUAAUACCGCAUACGAUCUAUGGAUGAAAGCGGGGGACCGUAAGGCCUCGCGCGAUUGGAGCGGCCGAUGUCAGAUUAGGUAGUUGGUGGGGUAAAGGCCUGCCAAGCCAACGAUCUGUAGCUGGUCUGAGAGGACGACCAGCCACACUGGGACUGAGACACGGCCCAGACUCCUACGGGAGGCAGCAGUGGGGAAUUUUGGACAAUGGGCGCAAGCCUGAUCCAGCAAUGCCGCGUGCAGGAAGAAGGCCUUCGGGUUGUAAACUGCUUUUGUACGGAACGAAACGGUCCGGGUUAAUACCCUGGGCUAAUGACGGUACCGUAAGAAUAAGCACCGGCUAACUACGUGCCAGCCGCCGCAGUAAGAC
rnacentral:rRNA from 1 species